GUCAAAAUAGGAAAAAAAUACUUAGCCCAUAUGAUAUAGAAACAAAAGAACAAUGCCCACAGCAAGGAAAAAUCCAUUGUGAAUUGUGCAGUUGUUCAGCUGUAAUGUUAGGAAGUUAUUGCAGAUUGUGUAAGAGAAUGCAUACUUUUUCUGAAAGUCUUGACUUGUACAAUGAAUGACUUUAAAAUUUCUUUAACAUUUUCUGGUGUUCAUGAGACAGAUAUUAUUUAAACCAGUAAAAGGCUACACCUAAAAGAGACUGAACUUCAGCAAAGUCUUAAACUCAGCAGAUGAAUUGAUCUCUUCUCCAAAGAAUGACUCAGAGGUGUCCUGAUCGUUUUAAAGGCUGAAGUUUCAAAAUUUCCAUUUCGUAUGCCUCAAUCCCAUGGGUGCUCAAGAGCUGAAACACCCACGGGAAAGUAUGUAAGAAUACAAUUACUGAAACAGCUUCAGGGCAGAAACUGCAUGUUUUCCCCUCUCCAUGAUAAAUGACAGAAUCAUGCAAAACAGAGGUUCAUAAUGCAGUGACCAGCUUACAGCUGUGGUUUAUGUACAACUGACCAUCCACUUUUUCAGCGGCCUUUAGGCAGGUGACAUAUCUUUUAUUCACAACAUUACAGUUCAAAGUUUGAUUUGGAGGACUUUGUAUUUAAUCCUUUAUUAGAAAAUGAACAACCCACAAAGCACUGCAAAUUAUUUCAGCCAUGUAUAGUAUGUUUUAAUAUAAAAUGUUUUUUGCAAUUAUUAAAAAAAAAUUAUCUAGCAAUUGUGAAAAAGAAGGACAGCAAAAUUGAUAAACUGUUGUGAGACUGAUUUAAUUACAUCAUUAAGCUGUGUUGCUGGGCUGUCAUUCACGUUACCAUGGUUACACUGACUUCUCUAAUUGAUGGCCCUUUCUUCAGGAUUGUGGAUAAUGUAGUACUUCACCGGGAAUUCGGCCAAAACCACAAUGAUUCAUGGCUUGUACAAGAACCGUAUACCAUCACUUAAAGAUCUCAGAGGUUAUUGUAGGCUUGUUGUUCCACCGUUCACCGUUCUGCCACUAAGAGACUGCCCUGCCCAGAGGGCCUGCUCAGUGUCGCCAGAUAGAGCAAUCAGCAGAGACAGAGAGAGUAAUGAGGGGGAAGAAGAGAGAGGGUACAUACCCACUUUACCGCCAGCCUUCCUCUCUCACACUCCCAGACACAUCCUCUGCUCAGAGGCCGGCAGGAAGGGAAGGGAGGAAGGGAGAGAGCGCAAGAGGGACGGAGGGAAAGCGGCCACUCCGCCCUCCAAAUGAUCCAGAUGCUGCUAGUUGUAGAGCAAACAUGAGAGGAAUCUAAGUUCAGAGGCCCCUUAAUGAAUGUGUUUAUUUG